UUUUUUUCUUUUUUUUUCUUUUUUUUCCCUUUUAGUUAAUGUGACGUUUGUCAUUUCAAAUAAUGUCUGAUGUCUGGCCCCAGGCUAUUUGUAGAUUUAUCCUACCCAACAUGUGUCACUCAUCUUUGUUUAGAAUUUGCAACCUUCAUCCUAGCAACCUCUUUUUAUUUUAUCCUUGCUUUUGCUUCAUUGGAGGGUCUGUACUGAUUAUAAUGGGCUCUCUCUCAGAAAGAGUAUGAUUAACAGUGGGUAUAAUAAGUCUGCAGAUAGGUAGUAAUUGGAAUUCUUGACAUGAAUUUAUCAUUUAGAUAAAUAUUGACUGUGUCUUACUUCACCAGUUGCUUUGCCUAUUAUUUUGUAGUGGCCAACCCAUCCUUCUAAUGGUGUCACUUAAAGAAACAAUAGAAACUUCAAAUAACUCACCCAACACAUCCAGUCUCUAAAUUGAAGCUGGAGAUAUCAGAAUUCUUCAAAAUAUGGGCAAAAAAAGAUGGCUUGAUCAUCAAAUAAUUGUCAUUUUAUUAUUAGAAUUUCUUGAUUUUUUAUGUGGUGCUUGCUUUGCUCACCUGCCUACAAACACAUAGAUAAAAAGUGGAUUCUAGCAUACUGUUGGCAGGAAUUUAGGAACCAGUUUCUUUUCAUUUAAACCUGAUCCUGAUGAGGAAAAGGACAUUCUAGGAGAUGUAACAUAGAUACUCAAUGGUAGAACUACUUAGAAAUCCAGUACUUAAAUUUUUGAUGUCAUAAGGUAGGAUUUCAACUGCCUCUGUGCCACGCAAACAUUUUAUGAAUGAGAACUCUCAUUUUUAUGUAAUUCAAGGAACUUUGUCGUCUUUGACUAUUGUUGUCUCCUGCCAUUAAAAUGAAUAAAUUAUUUAUUCCUCCUGAAAAAAUAAAGAAAUAAACCUGAUCCUGAGCCACUGACUAUCUUCUGUGACCUCAGGGGCUAGUCAAUGGCCUCAACACACAUUGAAACCAUAGUAUUUUCUACCUUGCCUUUAGCUUUCAUAUGAAGUAAACAGCAUGAAUAUAAAUGUCAAGAACUCAGCUAAGUAUGUGAUGAGGUCUUGGGAAGAGCAUUCCCUUGGGAAGCCCCUAAAUGCUGACUUAAUUCUCCCAAGUAACCAGGCUCACCCACCUUGGACUCCAUUCAAAAAAUGCAUUUUUUCUGGAAUAUAUACUAGUGGAUAAUAAUAGGUACCAUCUCAAAAGAAACUGGCAUCAUUCUUACAAAGGAGCAGCCACUAUCAAAUGAAAGAGCAUAUGGAUCAGUGUACAAGAUAAACAUUUUGGGUACAUCAGAGCCUUGGUGAAACUGGUUUACCACUUUGGCUCUCUUGCCACAUGGGUAGUGGAUCAGGCAGCCAGAGAAGCAUGGACUCAUUUCAACUUUAGAAGUUCAGGGCGUAACUCCAAGCCAGAAGUGUGGCCAUGGCCAGCUGUCUCAAGCCUCUGUGUGUAUUCAGUAACCAAUAGUAUGUUACAACAUAUGCUGUGUCAGAUCCAACCAUUAGCUUUGCAGAUCAAGUUAGGAAGAGUCUUUCUGGCAUGUGGUGCACCAGCAAGGAAGCUUCAGCUGAAUUAUAGGGGUCUGGAAGCAGAUGGGUAGAGAGGCUAAAGAUCAAAAUACAAUUUGGACCUUCACUUUCAGGAUCUUAAUAGUAGCAUAUCCACUUUUGUCUCCUUGUAGAACUAACAUAUACGUAAUCUGUAGAUGGAGGUUUUCCAACACUCUCCCCAUCAGCUAGAAUAGUGAAAAGUGUCCUCUAUGAAAAAUGUGUGAAAAAGGAUUUAUUCACUCUUUGAAACCUAAACCUCCAAGAGGUAUUGUUUUAUUUCUGCCCUAAAGCUCUCCAAUUUUAUACAUCUUUCUAUAAAAAUGUGAUUGCCUACUAUAAAGAAAAACUAAAAAUGAAUAGGAUAAAACAAUGGCUUUGAGAGUCUAAUGUCAAAGGUGUCAUGCCAAUUACAGUAAAAAUCCAAUUAACAAAAACAUAGCUCUCAGCAAUAAUGCAAAUAAGCAGAAAGUCAGAAUUGCUUUCUUUUAUUAAAAAAAUAAAUGUCAGGAAAACAAGCUUAUUCGUAGAUGUUAGAAAACUAUGAUUUUCAAGGUAAAUUCUAGACUUUGAACAAAUUUAAUCUGUCCCACACCUAAACUCAUCUACUAUAGAAUAAGAAUCAUCAUGCAGCUCCUAAUCCUCAGUACUCAAUCAUCAAAGAAAGGGGGAAAAAAUUUAACAUUCUUAUUUACUAAGCCACAAGAAUAGCAUAGCAUAAUCGAAUUUUUAAAGUGUGAUUUCUUUUAUUUCUUUCUUUUUUUAACAAAGAAGAAUUCUCAAGCUCAAAGACCAAGUCUUAUUCAUUGUACCGUCUGCGGUGUUUAGGCAAGUACCUGGCACAGUGUCAGUACUCAUAAAUUCCUAAAGAAUCAAAGGAAUUUUCUUUUAACACCAAUUUUAGGAGCUAUAUCGGUGGCUCUGAAGAAGAAACAAAGUCAUCUCAGCAUUGAUUGCACCUGGAAAAGAGCCAUGCUAUAAUUUCCAGCACUACUGUCUAUCUGUAUCAAUGAUCUGAGAAUUCAAUGAUCUAAAAAUUCAGUUUCCCCCAUUUUUCAGGAGUACUCUAUCAGUAUGGUUGAAUUAGCUUUUGUUCAGAGAGACAGGCGGGCUUUCAAGGCUGAAGUUGAGACUCUGAAGCCGAUUGCCUGUACUCAUACUUCAAAUGAUCAUUACCAACCAGGAAACCUUGGGCAAGCCUCUUGACUUUCCUGGUAAUAUCAGCGCCUACCUACUUGGCUUUUUGUGAGAAUCUAGUUCGUGUAUGUAAAGCACUCAUAAACGUGAAUGUUUCUAGCACUUCACAAGUCUUGGCUAUUUUAUUUCUGAUGAGACUACUAGAAGGAAAGCACUGGAUUUCAAAUCUCUUGUCACAAUUUCUUAGACUUUCUACAGUAACCAAAGAAAAACUAUUUUUCUUUUUAAAAUAUUCCUAAAUGUCAAGAAAAAAAUAAAUAAAUGAGAAAAUUUGGUCUCUAUAAAGUUUGGGUUUAAUUAUAAACCCAUAGUUACCUAUUGAAAUCAUCUUUGGGAAGCCAAAAAAUGAUAUGAUUUCUUCAGAAGUUGGUCAGUAAAGAGAUUUUUCUAUCCAAGAGAAGCUUAUACAUCUUUAGGUAGAAACUGCAAGAAACAAUAUAUACACACACAUAUAGUUGAUUAAGUGUCUGGAUGGCUAUUUUUUCUUAGGAAAAAUAUGUCAUACUUUUGGCUUAGUAGUUUAUUUUACUUUAAUAAAGUUGCUACCUUUUAGGACAAUGAGUUCUAAGACUCAUAUAAGAAAUACAUUGUUGGAAAAUAAAAAGGCCAAUGCAUCCAUCCAUAUCCAUGUCCCUGAUAUGAAGGAAUUCUCUGCCAGUAUAGAAUCAUGUCUGAGUGAUUCUGUCCUGGGUUUACUGACUUUAUAGACUUGGGACAGGACCAAAGUCAUGUUCUUGCUGCCUGUGUUGGGCAGGUAGCUGUGAACUUCCCAUCACUCUUACAGAGCUACUUAUUCAGUUAAGCAAAUUGAUUUUUCAUACAUCUAAAAUAUUCUAAGAGUCAGACCACUAACAAAAAAGGCUAAAGUGUCAAUAAAGACUUGAGCUAAGGAUAAUAGAGCAAAAUAAAAAGCAAAUUGCUUUUUAAAAAUGAAUAAAUUCUUACUUCUAUCCUUUUUCCAAAGCUAAGUGCUUAAGUGAAAUAUGUCUUUCAGAGCUAUUGGCUGAAAUCCAUUUUCAAGUUGGAAGGAUAAGAUUGCAAAAUUUCAAAAAGUACAUUCAUUUACUUAUGCAUGAUAAAAAUCUAUAACAAUCUAAAAUAAUUGUGAAAAUUGAAAUAGAAAUAAGAGCAUUAAUUGUAAGUAAUGUAUCCAUCCAUUGCUCUUCCUAGAUUAUUGUUUUAGGUGGUACUUGGGUUACUGAAACUUUUUUCCUUUUUAGUGAUGCUGUGAAUAAAACACCAAGAUAGCAAAUCAGAAGACCUAAAUUCAAAUCCCUUUUAUUUCCUUCCAACUGGCUGAUGGCAAGUGUCUUGACCUUUCUGAGCCUUAGUUACUAUCCUUAUAAAGUCAGGUUUUUAUGAAGGAGGUAGAGAUCAUAAAUCUAAUGAAAAUGUUAUCAGUGCUUUAAAAUAGCAACAAAAAUAUCUGACUCAGGAAGUCUAGGCCUUGAUUACAAACAAGAGUGCCUAAAGUGAAAUAAGUGUUCAUUUGAAUGUUUAUCAAUUCAUGAAUAAAUAAAUGAAUGCAUCAUACAUCUACAAUUGUGACAUUUAUCCCCAGCUAAAAUAAUAGAAGGAGUGAUGUCGCCUUCAUUUUGGACAGUGAUUAUAUUAUUUUAGUUGUCACUUUCUCAAAUGUAUAACAUACACAUUGUCUACUAUGUUGAAGCAAUAUGGCAAACUAUAAAGACAAAGAUUCAGAAUCUAGUGGCAGAGCAUGGAGAUGCUCAGGCUCAGCCUAAGUUCAGGUUUCAGAGGUUGAAUCCCAUCUCUGCAACUCAACUGCUGUGUGAUAUUAGGCAAGUCAUUUAAGCAUUCUGGGCCUCAGUUUUCCCAUAUGUAAAAUGGGAAAGAUAACAGUUUUAUUAUAGAGUACUAAGCAUCAAAAGUAAUAGCUGAGGUACUCAGUACUCCCCCAGAUAAAGACCCUGCUGUUGUACCUUUAUCAGCAUUUGGAGACCUGAUAAAAAAAUACACCAGGAUGGUAACAUUGCUAUAAUUAUUUCCACCUACAAGAUUAUCAAAACUAUUGAAACUUCUUAUAUUUUUUUGUCUUUUUGCCUUUUCUAGGGCUGCACCCACAGCAUAUGGAGGUUCCCAGGCUAGAGGUCUAAUCAGAGCUGUGGCCGCUGGCCUACACCAGAGCCACAGCAAUGAGGGAUCCGAGCUGUGCCUGCAACCUGCACCACAACUCUCGGAAACACCGGAUCGUUAACCCCCUGGGUGAGGCCAGGGAUCGAACCCACAAUGUCAUGGUUCUUAGUCAGAUUCGUUAACCACGGAGCCAUGACAGGAACUCCAGAAACUUCUUAUUCUUAAGCAAAGUGAAUAGGGACUGAGAAUGAAGGUUUAGGGGGAAUUUUCAGCUAUAUUAGUGAGGGCAGUGAGCUGGCAACAUUUAUAAGAUGGCAGCUCAAGACAAUUUUAUUUAAGUACUAAAGAAACUUGUGACCCUAUAAAUCAGAAAAACUUGAGGACCUUCAACUGACUGACACCUGGAUUACAUAUUUCCUAACAUCCACAAUAUUAAGAAUUAUUUGAGGCUGUGUGCAGUUGUUCUUAGCAGAGCUUCUGCAGUCAACAGAGUUGGAACCCUGACUCCACUACUUUCCCCUAAAACCUUAGGUAAAUUGCUAAACCCUUCUAAAGUCAGUUCCCCAGUUGCAAAAUACGGCUAUUACCUACCUCUCAAGAUAGCAGGCAAUAUAAAAUGAAAUAAAGUUCCCUCAUGUGAUGGAUUAUACACACUUAAACUUACAAAAUGAGAUCUGUUCUUUCCUUCAGUUUUAAUUUAGUUGAUCAACUUGAAAUAAUUUAUUUUAAGGAUGCA
rnacentral:lncRNA from 1 species